rnacentral:rRNA from 1 species
UGGGGAAUAUUGGACAAUGGGCGCAAGCCUGAUCCAGCCAUGCCGCGUGAGUGAUGAAGGCCCUAGGGUUGUAAAGCUCUUUUGUGCGGGAAGAUAAUGACGGUACCGCAAGAAUAAGCCCCGGCUAACUUCGUGCCAGCAGCCGCGGUAAUACGAAGGGGGCUAGCGUUGCUCGGAAUCACUGGGCGUAAAGGGUGCGUAGGCGGGUCUUUAAGUCAGGGGUGAAAUCCUGGAGCUCAACUCCAGAACUGCCUUUGAUACUGAGGAUCUUGAGUUCGGGAGAGGUGAGUGGAACUGCGAGUGUAGAGGUGAAAUUCGUAGAUAUUCGCAAGAACACCAGUGGCGAAGGCGGCUCACUGGCCCGAUACUGACGCUGAUGCACGAAAGCGUGGGGAGCAAACAGGAUUAGAUACCCUGGUAGUCCACGCCGUAAACGACGAAUGCCAGCCGUUAGUGGGUUUACUCACUAGUGGCGCAGCUAACGCUUUAAGCACUCCGCCUGGGGAGUACGGUCGCAAGAUUA